rnacentral:rRNA from 1 species
GAUGAACGCUAGCGGCAGGCUUAACACAUGCAAGUCGAGGGGCAGCGUGAUGAAGUAGCAAUACGGAUUUGACGGCGACCGGCGCACGGGUGCGUAACGCGUAUGUAACCUACCUUUAACAGGGGGAUAACACUGAGAAAUUGGUACUAAUACCCCAUAACACUCUAGGAGGCAUCUUUUGGAGUUGAAAGUUCCGGCGGUUAAAGAUGGACAUGCGUUGUAUUAGCUAGAUGGUGAGGUAACGGCCCACCAUGGCGACGAUACAUAGGGGGACUGAGAGGUUAACCCCCCACACUGGUACUGAGACACGGACCAGACUCCUACGGGAGCAGCAGUGAGGAAUAUUGGUCAAUGGACGCAAGUCUGAACCAGCCAUGCCGCGUGCAGGACGACGGACUCUAUGAGUUGUAAACUGCUUUUAGUGCGGGGAUAAAGUGAUCCUACGUGUAGGAUUUUGCAGGUACCGCAUGAAUAAGGACCGG